UACGGAGGGUGCAAGCGUUGUUCGGAAUUACUGGGCGUAAAGCGCGCGUAGGCGGUUUGUUAAGUCAGAUGUGAAAGCCCAUGGCUCAACCAUGGACGUGCAUUUGAAACUGGAAGUCUGGAGUUCAGGAGAGGUUAGCGGAAUACCGAGUGUAGAGGUGAAAUUCGUAGAUAUUCGGUGGAACACCAGUGGCGAAGGCGACCACCUGGCCAAAUACUGACGCUGAGGUGCGAAAGCGUGGGGAGCAAACAGG
rnacentral:rRNA from 1 species